GACGAACGCUGGCGGCGUGCUUAACACAUGCAAGUCGAACGGAAAGGCCCUGCUUUUGUGGGGUGCUCGAGUGGCGAACGGGUGAGUAACACGUGAGUAACCUGCCCUUGACUUUGGGAUAACUUCAGGAAACUGGGGCUAAUACCGGAUAGGAGCUCCUGCUGCAUGGUGGGGGUUGGAAAGUUUCGGCGGUUGGGGAUGGACUCGCGGCUUAUCAGCUUGUUGGUGGGGUAGUGGCUUACCAAGGCUUUGACGGGUAGCCGGCCUGGGAGGGUGACCGGGCACAUUGGGCCUACGGUACGGACCAGACUCCAACGGGAGGCAGCAGUGGGAAAUAUUGCACAGUGGGCGGAAGCCUGAUGCAGCAACGCCGCGUGCGGGAUGACGGCUUUCGGGUUGUAAACCGCUUUCGCCUGUGACGAAGCGUGAGUGACGGUAAUGGGUAAAGAAGCACCGGCUAACUACGUG
rnacentral:rRNA from 1 species